UAUGGAUUUAUUUCUAGACUUAAACUUAGAAUGCUAAGCGAUGAUUGUGAGGUGUGAGCACUAGCUUAUUUUAGGAAUGAUGCCUAAAUUGCUUUUAUGUGCUAAAUGCUUUGUGCAUGAUAUGUUGUUAAUUGUUCGGAUCUAUGGUCUGUUGCCGACCGGAUCUGGAAACCUUAUGUGUUUAGGAUUCUAAACAUACGACUACGAUAUUAGAACUAGCAUGUAAACGUUUCGGAAUGAUAAGGAUGAUUUAAACGUCAAUCCUAAGUAAAGGUCUAGAUUCACCUUAUUCGGUGUAUAGAUCAAGAUGGCAAGGACCCGUAGUAGAAACGUGAAUGCAAAUGAGAAUAGGAACCAACCCCCGCUGGUUCAGCAAAUACCUAUUGUAGAAGAAGUUGCACCUGAGCCAGUCAACAUGGCUGGAGUUCAAGCCAUGAUUCGGGCUAUGCUAGCUGAACAAAGGGAAGAAAUGAGGAGGAUGUCGAAUAGGGACGAACCUACUAUGCCCACUGAGCAACCCGAGCUGAUUCCCGAGCAAUCGGAGGAAGGGAACUACAGCCGCCAAGUGAGUCAAGUGGGGACUCAAGAUGGCCCGGAGAGGAGAAACGACAAGGAUGGGCGAAUGUACAAGAAUUUAUUGGGUGCGAAACCACCAAGUCUCUCAGGAAGCCCAAAGCCUGUUGAGAUUAUAGAUUGGAUCUCCGAGAUGGAAAUGGUGUUUGAGAGCUGCGACUGUAGCGAGAAACAGAAGACCGUCUUCGCCGUAAGACAACUGAAAACUGGAGUCUUGAGCUGUUGGAAGCUAUUGGCAGAUACGAUGCCACGAGGAGAAGCCUUAAGGAUGUCAUGGGAAGAGUUCUUGGAACAGUUAAAAAUGCAAUAUUGCUCGAAGAUAGAUCUAAUAGACCUAAACAACGAGUUUCAGAACCUGAAGAAAGGGAAGAUGAGUGUUGAUGAGUAUGCCAUCGCAUUCACUGAGAGGAUGAAGCUAUUCCGUUACUUGGUGCCUACUGAAUUCUCCAAGAUUGAUAGGUUUGCUAACGGACUGCUCACUGACUUUGGCCCAAUGGUCAAAAUGGCAACUACCUUGAAAACAACUGUUAGGCUAGCUAAGAACGUUGAGGCGCAGAUAAGAGAAAGGGGUCUAGAAAAAGAUAAGGCAGGAGAGAAGCGGAAGUUUGAAGGAUCUUCAAGGUCCAACAAGGAAAGAAAUUCUCAAAGCUUGGAGGAGGAGAUGGAGGUGAAUCAAGAUGGUGUGAUAAAUGCAAGAAGAAGCAUUGUGGGAAGUGCAACGAAGAAGUGACUUAUUACAAGUGUGGGAGGACUGGUCACUAUUCCAAGGACUGCACACAUAAUGAUAAAGUAUGCUACGGAUGUGGAGGCAAGGGGCACAUGUCCAGAGACUGCCCAAGGAAAAAUAAAGCAGCAAGACCAUAAACGUCACCAAGGCCAAGGGCAUUUCACAUGAUCCUCGACGAAGCAGAAAACCAUGCGAGGAAUCAAGGAUGAGGACUUUAUACCCGAAGAUCAAGUUAUGCAGUAGUCAUAGUAUCGUAUGAUGUAGCCCAUUAGAGGCAUAGUCCAGGGUGAACUUGAACACCUAUGUAAUUGUUUCAAGAAAUAGUAAAAUCUUCGUGUUUUUAUCUGGUGUGUUAAAUUGUUAUGUGAUUUUCUNCUGCGAGACAAUACUUGGGACGAGUAUGAGUAGGUGUGAAUGGUAGUAGAGGCCUAUACUACCAGAAGCAUAGGACUCACACUUGGAUCAGGGAAAGUCACAAGGUUACCAAGAAGCUAGUAAUUGAUUUCGUUUUAUUCAAGUAUGUCGUUACCAUUGUUUCGGUAAUGACUAAGAAAAAUUGUUGUUAUCCUGACCCUAGUGGUUAUAUCACAUUGAGUCCGACUAUGAUGAGUAGGUUACAUGGUUCGGAGAACCAAGUUUGAUGCAGCGUCCGACUUAAACCAAACAGCUGAAAUCAAAGCGAUCAAUAGAAGUAUCGCGCUCGUUGUUAAAGAAGUUGGUAGUGUGAUUAUAUCACAUUAGAGUAUGAAGGAAGGCAUAGUCUGUUUUGAAAUUUGACACUAAGAGAUCUGAGUCUAAACGUGCAUCACAUGAUGAUAGGUCAUAAUUUGGAGUCUAACCUGAGGUAGAGAGCAGGUGCACGAUUAAGAACUGCUUACAGUCAAUAAGUCUAAAAGAUAGACUUGAAGAAAUAUAGAAGUUAUAAUUAUUAACUAGGAUGAAGAGAUGAAGUAUGGAGUCAUUAUACGAGCCUUUUUUCGUUGAUGAUCCCGGGACGUAAUCGUCCUAAGGGGGAGAUAAUUGUAACGCCCGCAGAUCCGGGCUAGCCAAAUUAGAGGCAAUAGGGGUCGAAAAUGACUUUUCGACAAAAGAUUAUUUAGAGUAAAUAAUCUUAACCAAGUUGUAGAAUAUGUCACAAGGUUUCCGUACAUAUAAAGAACGCCGAAAUCCGAGUUAUAACGAAGAAGUUAUGACCCGUCGAAGUUUCGCGACGAAACCGACACGACACGGGACGCGUAAAUAGUGAAUUUACGAUAGAGCGAGAUUUAGCCUUAGCAAUCUAAACGAAAGUCGUAGAAUAUGUUAAACUAAGAGCNUCGAUAAAAAGAACGCCCAAAUUUGACUUCGUAUGAGGAAGUUAUGAUUUUUCGAAGUUUCGGAUUAGCGGUGUAUAGCCCGAAAUUCGAAUAUUAGAUCGAGUGAUUUUUAGCCGACAUGACCUAAAAUAGAAUCGAAGAUCUCGAUAAGAGUAGCGUAAUGAGAGAAAGAUGGGCGAAAACGGACGUCGGAUGAAGAAGUUAAGAAGAUUUAACGGACCAAUCCUGUCCCGACCUGUUAGUAAUAUAAAAUUUAAAAAUCAAGUCAAAAUUAGCCGACGAAGUCUAAACGAAAGUUGUAGAAUACGUUCCCUCCUUCGAGUGGAUAUAAAGAACGUCAAAAACGGAGCUCGUACGCGAAAGUUACGAAUUUUUAAAGUUGGAAAGUGAACUUGCGAAGCUGAUGCAUGAAAUGAUGACGUGGCCGAACUCCCAGCCAUCGGAUGAAAUCGCUUCGGAUGGUGACACCUGGUGCGAGGGUCACGCCCAGUGUAGCGAAGAGACGCCUAGUGUCCGGAGUACGCCCCGCGUACUUCGUUCUUAUCCGUCCGAUGGAGUGCAAGACAGCUGGUCCGAGGUGGCAUGCUUAUCCGAGCACUACGCCCAACGUAACAAAGGACUAUGCCCAGCGUACUCCAACAGGCCUCAUUGGGUAUAAAAGGGGGCGAGGCAGCCUUCAUUUUCCACACUAUUCUCCUUCUCUCUCUAAAAUACUUUCUCUCUCUAGCUCCCCAGCCACCCCUAAGCCCUAGGAAAAAUACCUAGCACCUAAAGGAAGCCCCGAGGCUCCCGGAGUCCCGAGAAAAAGGGUCUUUUGGUUUCGAAACGAUGCUCCAAAUAAAGUUCUGGUUUUCGAUAAAAUUCACUGUAAGUGAGCUACGCUUACGCAAUUUUUAAUAUAGCUUCCAAAUAAUUAUAGGAAUGUUAUUAGGUCCUUAAAAUAAUUAUUUGGGCUAUUAUACUGAGUUAUAUUGAGUGUUAUUUAACACUUAUAUAAUAAAAAUAAUAGCUAAGCUAUUAAUUUGUCGCGGUUAUCGUUAGACUAAACCCUAGUGGUAUUGAUACUAGGUUUUAUCAAAGGAAAUCGUUUUGAGAGUAUCAAAGCGAUGUCCGAGUGCUGAGUCACCACCUUUCAAGUGAGUGCAUAGUCCCUUUCAUCUUACACAUAGAUAUGAAGUAUUUUAUAUAAACUACGUGCUAUGUGUGCAUUUUAUCUGAAUACUUGCUGUCUAUGCUGGAUGAACGUUUUAUACAUGUUUUAAAGGAUUUAAACCGUAUACGUAUGUUAUAUAUACGAAUAUGUUGGGCAUGACAUGGGUAGAUGAAUGAUGAGAGAUAAAAGAUUAUGUGAGUAUACAUUGGAAGCUAUGGACUUAGUGCCUAAUAAACAUCGGCAGCUAUGGACUUAGUGCCUAUGGGACAAACACCGGUAGCUAUGGAUUUAGUACCUGUUAGGAAUUGGUAGCUAUGGACUUAGUACCUAUUAGAUAAACACUGGUAGCUAUGGCUUUAGUACCCGAUGAGUAGACUAUAGCAGCUAUGGAAUUAGUGCUUUACGAACGAACAUUGGCAGCUAUGGAUUUAGUGUCAGUCCUAUAACCCUGGAAGUAAGGGACUUCGGAAUAAACGAAUGCAGGAUAGAUGACUCUUAGGUUAAAUCCUUAAGAGUAAAGAAGAUAAUGGGGAUGGGUAAUUGGGUUGAUUGUUUGAUUGUUUAAACAUAAUAAUUAUAUUAUUGUGGGUUGAAAACCCUAUGUACUCACCAGGUUUCCCAACCUGACCCACUCAGUUUAUUUAUAUCACAGGUGUUGAUAUGAAGUCACAUUACACUGAGAGAUUUAAAGAGAUGUAGAUCACUAGUGUAAAUAAAUGUAAGUUCUGUUUAUGCUUAUGUUUCUGUAUUAACGAUGACAUCCCAAACGUUUUAAAAUGAAAUAAAUACGUUUCUUCGAAAAUGUUUUAAUAACGUAUUUACCAUGUUUUUCUGGGAACAAAUUCCGCAACAUUUUUAUAAAAUGAAGUACUCUGAUUUUUAUAAAGCAUAAACAACAUCGGUCUUUUCUGGCCGUGAAAAUGGGGAUGUCACAGUUGGUAUCAGAGCAUUAGUUUAAGCGAACUAGGAAUAUGGAUUUAUUUCUAGACUUAAACUUAGAAUGCUAAGCGAUGAUUGUGAGGUGUGAGCACUAGCUUAUUUUAGGAAUGAUGCCUAAAUUGCUUUUAUGUGCUAAAUGAUUUGUUAUGCUAUAGUUUGAUCGGAUCUAUGGUCUGUUGCCGACCGGAUCUGGAAACCUUAUGUGUUUAGGAUUCUAAACAUACGACUACGAUAUUAGAACUAGCAUGUAAACGUUUCGG
rnacentral:lncRNA from 1 species